AGUAAUGCUUGGGAAUCUAGCUUAUGAGGGGGAGUAACUACGGGAAACUGUAGCUAAUACCGCGUAGUAUCGGAAGAUGAGAGUGUGGGACCUUCGGGCCACAUGCCAUAGGAUGAGCCCAAGUGGGAUUAGGUAGUUGGUGAGGUAAAGGCUCACCAAGCCGACGAUCUCUAGCUGGUCUGAGAGGAUGACCAGCCACACUGGGACUGAGACACGGCCCAG
rnacentral:rRNA from 1 species